AUACGGAGGACGCGAGCGUUAUCCGGAUUCAUUGGGUUUAAAGGGUGCGCAGGCGGCCGUGCAAGUCAGCGGUGAAAGCCCGGGGCUCAACCCCGGAAGUGCCGUUGAUACUGCAUGGCUGGAAUGCGGUCGAGGCGGGCGGAACGUGGGGUGUAGCGGUGAAAUGCGUGGAUAUGCCACAGAACGCCGAUAGCGGAGGCAGCUCGCCAGGCCUGCAUUGACGCUCGGGCGCGAAAGCGUGGGGAUCGAACAGGAUUAGAUACCCUGGUAGUCCACGCCGUAAACGAUGGGCGCUCGUCGUCGGCGGCAGACAGUCGGCGGCCAAGCGAAAGCGAUAAGCGCCCCACCUGGGGAGUACGGUCGCAAGACUGAAACUCAAAUGAAUUGACGGGG
rnacentral:rRNA from 1 species